UACCAGCUCUCCGAGUGGUGUGGAUGUUUAUUGGGCCUAAAGCAUCCGUAGCUGGCCAAGUUAGUCCCCUGUUAAAUCCACCGAAUUAAUCGUUGGAGUGCGGGGGAUACUGUUCGGCUAGGGGACGGGAGAGGCAGACGGUAUUUUCGGGGUAGGGGUGAAAUCCUAUAAUCCCGGGAAGACCACCAGUAGCGAAGGCUGUCUGCUAGAACGCGCCCGACGGUGAGGGAUGAAAGCUGGGGGGAGCGAACCGGAUUAGAUACCCGGGUAGUCCCAGCUGUAAACGAUGCAGGCUAGGUGUUUGGACGGCCACGUGCCGUUCUAGUGCCGCAGGGAAGCCGUUAAGCCUGCCGCCUGGGGAGUACGGCCGCAAGGCUGAAACUUAAAGGAAUUGGCGGGGGAGCACCACAAGGGGUGAAGCUUGCGGUUU
rnacentral:rRNA from 1 species